rnacentral:rRNA from 1 species
CCUGGCUUAGAACGAACGCUGGCGGCAGGUCUUAGGCAUGCAAGUCGAACGGAUGACAAGAGAGCUUGCUCUCUGAAGUCAGUUGGCGCACGAGUGAGUAACGCGUGGGAAACUGCCCUUCACUGGGGAAUAACGUUUGGAAACGAACGCUAAUACCGCAUACGCCCGCAAGGGGAAAGAUUUAUCGGUGAAUGGAUGUGCCCGCGUUGGAUUAGCCAGUUGGUGGGGUAAUGGCCUACCAAAGCAAUGAUCCAUAGCUGGUCUGAGAGGACGAUCAGCCACGCUGGAACUGAGACACGGUCCAGACUCCUACGGGAGGCAGCAGCUAAGAAUAUUGGGCAAUGGAGGAAACUCUGACCCAGCCCAUGCCGCGUGAAUGAAGAAGGCCUUCGGGUUGUAAAGUUCUUUUAGUCAUGAAGAUGAUGACAGUAGUGACAGAAAAAGCACCGGCUAACUUCGUGCCAGCCGCGGC